rnacentral:rRNA from 1 species
AACCCUGCUUGCUUGAAGCAGGAGACGGGUGUUUAUGCGGUUGAGGAUCUGCACGUCGUCAGAACUUGCACACACCGCCCGUCACAAU